rnacentral:rRNA from 1 species
UAAAGGAUUAAAGCCAUGCAUGUCUAAGUAUAAACGAUUUAAUCUUGAAACCGCGAAUGGCUCAUUAUAACAGCUAUAAUUUACUUGAUCUUGACACAAUCCUACUUGGAUAACUGUGGUAAUUCUAGAGCUAAUACAUGCAUUAAAGCUCUGACCUCACGGGAAGAGUGCAUUUAUUAGAACAAAACCAAGCGGCUUCGGCUGUUUCUGGUUGACUCAUAGUAACUGAGCUGAUCGCAUGGUCUUGUACCGGCGACGUGUCUUUCAAGUAUCUGCCGUAUCAACUUUCGAUGGUAGUGUAUCUGACUACCAUGGUGAUCACGCGUAACGGAGAAUAAGGGUUCGGCUCCGGAGAGUUCGCCUGAGAAAUCGCGAACACAUCUAAGGAAGGCAGCAGGCGCGAAAAUUACCCACUCUCAGCACGAGGAGGUAGUGACGAAAAAUAACGAGACCGUUCUCUUUGAGGCCGGUCAUCGGAAUGGGUACAAUUUAAACCCUUUAACGAGUAUCUAUGAGAGGGCAAGUCUGGUGCCAGCAGCCGCGGUAAUUCCAGCUCUCAAAGUGCAUAGAAUUAUUGCUGCGGUUAAAAAGCUCGUAGUUGGAUCUGUGCCAUAGGACUGGGUCCACUUUCGGGUGCGUACUCAGCUCCUAGGCUUUUUGACGGUUUUCCCGUCGUAGCCUUCACUGGUUGCGGCGGGUGGCUGUCGAGUUUACUUUGAGAAAAUCAGAGUGCUCAAUACAGGCGUAUCGCUUGAAUGAUUGUGCAUGGAAUAAUAGAAAAGGAUUUCGGUCCUCUUUUAUUGGUUUUGUGGACUGAGAUAAUGGUUAACAGGGACAAACGGGGGCAUUCGUAUCGCUGCGUGAGAGGUGAAAUUCUUGGAACAGUAGCGAGACGCCCUACUGCGAAAGCAUUUGCCCAGGAA